rnacentral:rRNA from 1 species
UAGGGAAUCUUCGGCAAUGGGGGCAACCCUGACCGAGCAACGCCGCGUGAGUGAAGAAGGUUUUCGGAUCGUAAAGCUCUGUUGUAAGAGAAGAACGUGUGUGAGAGUGGAAAGUUCACACAGUGACGGUAACUUACCAGAAAGGGACGGCUAACUACGUGCCAGCAGCCGCGGUAAUACGUAGGUCCCGAGCGUUGUCCGGAUUUAUUGGGCGUAAAGCGAGCGCAGGCGGUUUAAUAAGUCUGAAGUUAAAGGCAGUGGCUUAACCAUUGUUCGCUUUGGAAACUGUUAAACUUGCGUGCAGAAGGGGAGGGUGGAAUUCCAUGUGUAGCGGUGAAAUGCGUAGAUAUAUGGAGGAACACCGGUGGCGAAAGCGGCUCUCUGGUCUGUAACUGACGCUGAGGCUCGAAAGCGUGGGGAGCAAACAGG